UGCAGUCGAGCGGAUGACGGGAGCUUGCUCCUUGAUUCAGCGGCGGACGGGUGAGUAAUGCCUAGGAAUCUGCCUGGUAGUGGGGGACAACGUUUCGAAAGGAACGCUAAUACCGCAUACGUCCUACGGGAGAAAGCAGGGGACCUUCGGGCCUUGCGCUAUCAGAUGAGCCUAGGUCGGAUUAGCUAGUUGGUGAGGUAAUGGCUCACCAAGGCGACGAUCCGUAACUGGUCUGAGAGGAUGAUCAGUCACACUGGAACUGAGACACGGUCCAGACUCCUACGGGAGGCAGCAGUGGGGAAUAUUGGACAAUGGGCGAAAGCCUGAUCCAGCCAUGCCGCGUGUGUGAAGAAGGUCUUCGGAUUGUAAAGCACUUUAAGUUGGGAGGAAGGGCAUUAACCUAAUACGUUAGUGUUUUGACGUUACCGACAGAAUAAGCACCGGCUAACUCUGUGCCAGCAGCCGCGGUAAUACAGAGGGUGCAAGCGUUAAUCGGAAUUACUGGGCGUAAAGCGCGCGUAGGUGGUUUGUUAAGUUGGAUGUGAAAGCCCCGGGCUCAACCUGGGAACUGCAUCCAAAACUGGCAAGCUAUAGUACAGUAGAGGGUGGUGGAAUUUCCUGUGUAGCGGUGAAAUGCGUAGAUAUAUGAAGGAAUCACCAGUGGCGAAUGCGACCACCUGGACUGAUACUGACACUGAUGUGCGAAAGCGUGUGGAGCAACAGAUUAGAUACCCAUGGUAAGUCCACGCGUUGACGAUGUCCAACUAACCUUGGAAUUCCUGCGAGAUUUCAGUCGACGGCAUCCUUGACGGCAUUAAAGUUUGACCGCCCUGUGGCGGUAGAUUGCCUGU
rnacentral:rRNA from 1 species